rfam:Rozella allomycis CSF55 unplaced genomic scaffold scaffold_3485, whole genome shotgun sequence.
GCAUUCGUGGUUCAAUGGUAGAAUUUUCGCCUUCCAAGCGAAAGACCUGGGUUCGAUUCCCAGCGAAUGCA